GAGAAGCACCAGGAGAGGACAGGACAGGACUUCUGUGGCUUUCCCUGCACUGACCUUCCCCGGCCCCUCCCUGCACCCUCUGGCAGCUCAGUCAUGCCAAGAAGUUGGCUCAGGGCAGA